rnacentral:rRNA from 1 species
UACUGUGAAACUGCGGACGGCUCAUUAAAUCAGUUAUAGUUUAUUUGAUAGUAACUACUACUUGGAUAACCGUGGUAAUUCUAGAGCUAAUACAUGCACUGAAAUCCCGACUUCUGGAAGGGAUGUAUUUAUUAGAUAAAAAACCAACCCGGGCAACCGGUUCUUUGGUGAUUCAUGAUAACUUUUCGAAUCGCAUGGCUUUAUGCUGGCGAUGUUUCAUUCAAAUUUCUGCCCUAUCAGACUUUCGAUGGUAGGAUAGAGGCCUACCAUGG